AAAUAUUUGUUACUAAUACACAUGGAAGUUAUAUGUACUUGUGACGCAGUUAGAGAGGCCUGCAUUCUCUAUCUAUGAUAUACGUAGUACUGCGUAGCAUAUAAUUAUUUUAAAAGUAAAAGAAAGCAGAUAAUGAAGUCAUUUGCACGCAAGCGGUGCAAUAGAGGUGGCAAAUAUCCUUUUAGUAAAUUCUGAAAGAAGAUACCAAUCGAUGGAAUUAUUUAUAUGUGUGUAUUACACUAUAUAACCAUCUUCAAACCAGCGUCGAUUUUGACGAUUCCAUUUGCACAAUAAGGGAAGUGAAUCGUGGCUAGAAAUGGCAGAAGAAUCAUAAUAGCAUUACGAAUACUGUAGAGAUAAAAGAUAUGCAAUGAGGAUUAUCAUCAAUCACCCAGCUGCAAAUUGCACAUGGCCUUUCGGAGUGCACCGUAGCAUUUGUGUGCUACCGGUCAGGAUUAGGCGGCAUUAGUUGAAUCGAAUUCCAUGCUAAGCGCUCUGCAGAGCUAUGUGUUACGGCGAAUAGAAGGAACGCCAUGUGCCCAACGUUGCGGCUAUUCAAAUGGACUCCUACUGAUAGAGCAUUUAUUGACUAAAUGGAUGGUAAUGUAUUGUAGAAAGUAGUUUUGAUAUUUUUAUUGCACUUGAAUUAUAGUAAACUUGCGCCCGAAGUGUUUGCGACUUGCGACGAUAGCAUUAUUCUUGAUUUUUCUUUUAUAUUUUUUGCAAAACUACAUUCUUACAGUUUUAUAACACUUAACGUAGGUUAUUAUAUAUAACUUUAUAAUAAUAAGAAUUUCGCGUCGCAUGAUAGUCCUUAUUAAUAUUAUAAAUGAGAAAGUGGGUUUGUUUUUUUCAUCAUAUUAUCCGUUAUCUGCCCUCUGCUGAAUAUAAGUCUCCCCCAUAGGGGAAGUUUUUCAGUCGCCACGCUUGACACGCAGGAUGGCCUAUUGUUUUUUUUUUUUUUAUUUAUUAAUUUGUUUGUUACUUAACAGUACAUCAAACUGUUAUGAAAUUUAGCAUACGCAUAGUAUGUGUGACGGAGAAGGUUACACAUAUUAAAAGCGUUGUACGGAUUCUUGAUAUAUAAAUUAUGCAUAAAACCUCCAAAAUCUAUAGCCGAUGUAACAGCAGCAGAUAAAUAUCGAUCUGUCAUAAAAUAUCAUGAAGUUAAUUUCAAUUUAAGUUUGCCAGUUUUCAUUUCCUUCAAGUUGGGCGUUCGCUUAGUAGCCAAAAACUUGUUUGUUUGAUAGGUAUGGUUUCAGUAUUGAGUAACUCAAUAUUUUAUUAAAAUAUACUUAGGAAAUAACAAGAAAACAUUGUCAAUUAGGUUCGCGAAUGAUUGUUAUAGAUUACGUUCUUAGAUUGUAAUUACAUAAUAUAAUUAAAUGUUUUCACUGAUAUAUCAUAUACAACAAUAGUUAUUGAUAUACCCAGAAAUUUUGUUAAUAAGUGGCCUUUAUCAACUGAAAGUAAUAUUACGUAAAAUACAUUUUCAAGUGACAUCAAAAGACCUCCUCGGUUUUUAAUUAGAUCAAAACUUCGUCAUUUAAAAAUGUACUUAUAAAAAUAUUUUUUAUCUUAAAAUAUAUACUUUUAGAUUGAUUUCAUGCAAAUUUUAUUAAAAUUGGCUCAGUAAUUUGUAAUAAUCAAAAUAACUAGUUUUACCACGAUUUCAAUGAACUUUCACGAACAAAAUUUACGUAUUAAAAUGAAGUAGACAUGUUAGGUCUAACUUGACCUGUCCUGUAUCUUUGCAUUCUUCCUGACAUUUUUAUAUUUUGGAAUAAAAAUAGCACUCCGCUUCUUUUAUUUAUACCUCCACUUUUUUCAAACUAACUUAAUUUUAUAGUGUAUACUGUAUUUAAGAACCUACAACAAAUAUUACAGUAAAGAUUCAUGUUAUAUCGAAUGACAAUAACAACAGCGUGAUUGUUUUUGUUAUUUGAUAUAACAUGAGUUGGGAAAAUCGAUACGACAGAAAUGGAAUAUCGUUAUUUCACGGCGAGUUUAAAUAUUUAUAUAAAAUAUCCGUACGAGUAAACGAGUGAAUUGUAACAAAAUACCUUUGAUGGAAAUAAAAAUACUUGUUAAUUAUAUUUGUAUUUACUGGGAAAUUCCUUUAUCAAGUUGCUACUUGUGCUUACGAAUUGUGUUCAUUUGAACAUUCUUUAAUUACAUGCAGUGCCGUAUGCGGAGCAUGCUACACUAGUAGUUCCCAAACUAUUCGGGACUCUAAAUUCAGUUGCCAGUACAGUACUAUCUAGCACAACAUGCAUACCCAUGUAAAUUUCAAGAGAAGCAGGGCCCUCGUUAAUUUGAGCCUUGUCACGGGGCACAUCCCUUUCUUAGUAAGUCGGUAGCAGCAUCGUCGCCCGUUUCCACGGCGGCUAACGGCUUCUUGGCUCGGAAUUGCUACGUUUAUCUUUGUAAUAUCGAUUUGAACAUUCUACCUACAUUUAUUUAGAACGUUCCAACCUGAAAAUUGUACCUUGCGUUUUUAUUACAAAAUAUUUUAUUUUAUUUUCAAAUAACUUCUCUAAAAUGACACUUCUAUUGAGAAAUGCCAAAACUAUUAUAUAAAGGGUAUUUCAAAGUGAUAUGGUUAUAUGUAUUCAUUCAAA